AGAAGCAAUGUAAAGAGAGCGCCACGACUGGAAGAAAUAAGCAAUGGCAGAGAGAGCGGCUAUCCCAGUAGAGAAAAAAUAGAAUGUGGACAUUCCAGCAACACCGCGCCAGGACUGCCCAACGGGUUCAGUGGCUAAGACAAAAGAACAAAGGCCAGUGCCUCCGGUGCUGAAACCGGAAAGAAAGCGGAAUAAGGUAUAGGUCCAGUAGUCUACGCCGCGCCAGGACUGCCCAACAGGCUCAGUGGCUAAGACAAAAGAGCAAAGGCCAGUGCCUCCGGUGCUGAAACCGGAAAGAAAGCGGAAUAAGGUAUAGGUCCAGUAGUCCGAAGAGAAUGCUGUUAUACAACCAAAGAUGGCGUUUAAGAUGCAAACAAUAGUGAGGGAGCCUUUUCUUCCUAAUUUAGAGUCUGAGAGAUGUCCAAAUACUCCAGCACC
rnacentral:lncRNA from 1 species